CACGCUGGCAUAUGCUACGAAAAGCUUUGAAAGUGUCGAAAGUUGAGUAAUCAUGAAUGAGAGUGAGAGUACGCGCAGCAGUGGCCAUUGAGAGAUAAAAAUAUUUAUUCGCAUGUGCAAAAUUAUUUAGGAGCAAAUAGGUGUUGUUCUGUGUGCUUGAUAAAGCACGAAAUGCUGAAACAAACCAAAAAAAAACUAUAGAGAACGUAAGAGAAGGGCAGCCGCUGUGGGCAACAAAUGUCUGUACGUGUGUAAGAGAGCGACGCUGACGCAGUGCCUGUCAAAGGGCUGAGCUGUGCUCCAACCGAUCAGCUGAUGGCGAAUGGGAGCAGCGUCGCAACAAACGAAAAUUUAUAUUACAAAAAAGCCAAAUAAAACAAAUGAGUUCGCCACCUUAAUUCAUGCAUACAUAUAUCAUUCGUUGAAGUUUGAGUGUGUGACGAAGCCAUGCGAAGUAGCCAAAGCGGUGCUGGCUGGUAGGGAGUAUCAUUAUUUGUAUCUGCCGGCAGCGCCGCAUUACUCAGUGAGCUGAUUAGCCUGUUGGCUUUUGAGCUGCGCCCCAAAUGCACCGCACACCUUUACCUACUCCUUAGGGAGCACCAAAAAAAUCGAUAGAAAACCUGUUCGCUCGCAAAAAACGCAUAUCAGCAAAUGCAUACAAAUAAACGCUCACCAGUGCGCUCUCGGCACACCUGUGUGUCGGUCACAUUGGCGCGGUGUAAGUGAGCGCCGGCCAAAUUUUGUUAGCUGUACGUGCGCAUUCUGGCCUUACCCUCACCGCGCACGCAGAUCCAGCAGCUGACCCGCCACCAACACCAACAACGCUGCCGACGCCGCACGACAUGCGAAAGUACGAAAUUUGACUCACAUGUUUGUACCGGUUACGCUACGCUGCCGUUGCUGCUGCUGAGCGUGUGCAUUUGCUCAGCGCAACUCAACAAAGCGUAUCGAAAAUCCUUGUCGUUAAUUUUCAAGUUCAUUGUCAAGGUCGCCCGCUCGCUCUCUUGCGGGCUCUGCUGCUUGCUCACGCCGUUCGGCGCUCACACUCUCACAGCCGUACCGGCAGUGCCGACGACGCUCACCACCACCAUAUGGCGGCGCAACAACAAUCAACUGUGGCUGGUAGCGUUUGCGAAGCCAGCUGCAGCAGCGACAAGUUUUACUUUUCACUUUAAUUCAUUCGCAUUUAUUUUCGUUUUUUUUCCACUGUCGUUUAUAGCUUUCGUUUUUUGCUCAGUUGCAUCGCUUUUAAGGCUUUGUUGACAAACAUUUCUACCUACGUGUGGGAAUCUAAGUGUGUGCAUCCAAUGUAUAAUUGCAAUGUACUAUUCUAAUAUUUAUAUACAUACAUACAUAUGUAUAUAUAUGUACAUACAUAUGUACAUAAAUUUGUGCAAUUACGUAUGGCAUAUUUUCUUAUAUGGUGUGCAACGCCUAUUGGCUUACUUUUGUAAUCUUCGCAGCUGCGUUUUAGCGCAUGCAAUUUUCAGCAUCUCAUUAGCCACGUAAAGCCUAAGUCUAAUUUUACCCGAGCGCACCAUGUUGCACAAGGAUAUUAAAACUUUUUCCUUACUCAACAGCUGCUUGUACUGGCUGGUUGGUUACAAAGCUAGUUUUUAUGGUGGGAAAGUAAUGAUUUUGUAAAUUUUUCUUCUUCACCUCCAGCUUUCCAAUUUAAAUGCACUUUUUCCAGAAUUUUAUAGUUUCGGCUCUCCUAGUAAGCCGAUACAGAUUUUUGGCUCUCAUUUCAACUACUGUCGCAAUACAAACCUCACACGCAGUUAUGGGAACAGGAAGAGCUUCGUGAAUACAAUGGCCGUAAACUAACUGACUCGUUUCCUAAUUUCUGGAAAUCAUCGAUUAAUUAUGCCUUGAACAAAGUAUAUAUAUAUAUCACUUAGAUUUUAACAACCAGAAGGACAUGUGAGUCCUACAAAAUAUACAAUAUUUAUUUAUAAUUAAUCAGCGAGAUGAGCUGAACCAAUUUAGGCAUGUUCGUCUGUCUGUCGGUAUGUUUGUCCGCCCGUCUAUCCAGCUGUUUGUGUAUACCCGAUCUAGUUCUCAGCUUUUGAGAUAUCGAUCUGAAAUUAUGCGCACUUAAUUCUUUCUCCAAGAAGCUGCUCAUAUGUGAGAACCAACGUUAUCGAACAACUGUAGCAUAUAAAGGUCGACCCAAUUCGGGGUUACCUACCUAAAAAACAAAAACACAUAAACUUCAAAUUUAAUGGAGAUUGUUUAUUAACAUUCGAAAGAACAUUCUUUGGUAUUU